rnacentral:rRNA from 1 species
UACGGGGGGGGCAAGCGUUGUUCGGAAUUACUGGGCGUAAAGGGCUCGUAGGCGGCCAACUAAGUCAGACGUGAAAUCUCUCGGCUUAACCGGGGAACUGCAUCUGAUACUGGAUGGCUUGAGAUUGGGAGAGGGAUGCGGAAUUCCAGGUGUAGCGGUGAAAUGCGUAGAUAUCUGGAGGAACACCGGUGGCGAAGGCGGCAUCCUGGACCAACACUGACGCUGAGGAGCGAAAGCCAGGGGAGCAAACGGG